rnacentral:ncRNA from 1 species
GCUCAUAGAAAGGGGUGCUUGCAAAGGCUGAGAUUAUACCCAUAGAACCUGAGCAGAUAAUGCUGCUAAGGGAAACGGUUUUCUUCACCU